GAGACCCUCACAGUGUUGGACAUCUGAUAAAAUUAGCCCCUAAAACCAAACCCACAGAAUCUUAUUACUCUCUCACUUCCCACCAUCAUCAAUUCAUCAAUUUCUACGGAAAUCCCAAUAGAUCCUCUACCAGUCCCACAAAACACGCUUUAUCACAGAGGCCCAGACAGUAAAUUUUGGGUCUUUUCUCUCUCUCUCUCUCUCUCUCCCUGCGUACGAUCUGUGUCUGCGAGAGACCCCAGAAAUCUGAGCAAUCAUGCCGUCAGGUGCCAAGAGGAGAAAGGCUGCCAAGAAAAAGAAGGAGAAGGAGAAUCAGACCCAAAACGGGAGUUCAUCAACCACCAAAAGCAACCCUCAAGGAGACGUAAGUGAUGGUGGUGAGGUUGGCUCUAAACCUCAAGCUAAAGAGUGGAGACCAGUCACUCGGGCUAAGUCCGUAGAGGGAGAAUCUAGUGAUGCUGAGGCUGUUCGGAAAGAUGGUGGUGUUGGAAUUGAGAGGGAUUCGAAGGAGGGUUCCAAGAGCAACAAGCGUGCUGGGUCUGGAAAGGAAUCAAUUAAAGGCUCCAGUAGUAGCAGUAGCAGUGGUAGGAGUAGUUCAGAUGACGAGUCUCGUGUCGUUGAAAGGAGAAGGAAGGAGAAGGGUGGUGCUACCGUUUCGGAGGAAAAAAAACCUGCUAGUGAUUUGGUUAAGUCGGUUGAUUCUUUACUAGCAGAAGUGACUCACUCUACUAAUGAGGCACCAGCUGAGAAGACUACAAGUUUAGUUGCAGAGAAGGCCCCUUUGGCUGAGAAGACUACAAGUUUAGUUGCAGAGAAGGCCCCUUCGGCUGAGAAGACUGCAAGUUUAGUUGCAGAGAAGGCCCCUUCGCUUGAUUCUGAUAAGCCUGUGGUGACUGUUCACUUUACAGAAACUACUCCAGUUGACGGUCUUGUGAUCUCUGGUACAGUUGUAAAACCGGCAUUGGAGAGUGGUGCAGAGAAGUCUUUAGAAACUUUGACUGAUUCGCUACCAGAGAAAAUUGAGAGUAUAGUGUGUCCCCCGCUAAUUGAGAAUGGUAAGGCAUCUCCGACUGUGGUGGAAUCUGUAUCUAAAGAAAAUGGGAGUAAAGUAUUGCCAUCAGUAGGUGUGGUGGAAUCUGUAUCUAAAGAAAACGGGAGUAAAAUAUUGCCAUCAGUAGGUGUCUCUCCCGCUCAAACUAGUAAUGAUGCUGGAUCCAUUAAAGAUUCUGAAAUUCCAGAAUAUUCUGAAAGCCAGCCUCUAGUAGCUCCUGCCCCACGAGUGGUGGAAAAAACUUCUUGCUUUGGUUGCUGCGGAAUUCUGGACGUGAUAACAGGCUCCAGGAGAUAACUUCAGGAAGUAAAAAGUGGUUGGGAUGUCAUAGGAAUGCCAUAGUUGUCCAAAUGCUAGGUUAAUCAUGCUUCGGGUUUCCUCUGAUGCAGAAUCGAAGCAUGAUGGGUCUCAGUCGACUCUUUGAAGCAUGUGAAGUGAAGAAUCUGGUUCGCAAAAUUUAUGAUAUUUUGUUAUUAGAACUUCUGAGUUUCUUUUUUUCCCAAAGAAUAAUAGGCAAGAGGCCUCCUUUGGUAAAUCAUUUUAAAGUGGUUAUAGUUUGAGGAAUGGUAGUCAGCUGAAUAUAUACAGCUUUUACAACCUUCGUUUCUUGUUUUAAUUUUGCAGAAUAGUUUCUUCUGGCAUUGUAGGGAAAUGGAGUGACCUAAAAUUGCAAGAACUUUUUUUAGUAUGAA